ACUCUGUCCGGUUUGAGGUGAGACUCACAGGCUGGAGUGUUGACGGAAAUCUCUAUGGGAAGCACACUUGGGUUAUUUGAUCAGUUUGCCAGUAGUGGGGAAAUAAAAUGGCUCCACCAGACAGGUCCAAAUAAUGACACCUCAAAAGAUACGGAUCUCAUACACAGAGAAUAUAUCAACUGAAGGACUUGUUGUCGAGAUUAUGUCAAAGAGAUCAAAUUAAGGUAUGAUGCAGAAACUAUGAAUGGUUACCUCGGAGGAGGAAGAGGAGAGCGGUGGUUGCUCCCAACAUUGUGGUCGGUAUAGGUGGAUGGACGCUGGACGCGGUGAUCCAGGCACACCGCAUGCGUGACACAGUCAACGCACAUUGGCAUCGUCAGCAGCGGCGCUCUUCCUCACCUCAUGCCUCCCUCCUAGCAUUCUGCCUUACUCUGCCAUCUCCACAGGUAUUAUGACCAUUACGCUCUGCACAGGAAUAUCAAUUAGUUGCAUAAAUCUCAAUCUUUCAGUUUUUAUCUGCAACUAAGUCGAGGGGAAGAAAAUGUCUUUGAAGAAGAUUUGUCAGCAAUUAAGUGUGUAUACAAUGGGACAGUUGUGUCCGGUUUGUACGCAUUUACCAGAUUUAUGGGUGAUGCUUUUAGCCGUUAUAUUUACAUGUGUUGCCUGUGUUUGCCUCCUCUUCUCAACUGCAUUCUCUCCCUGGCGCUACCUGGCUUGAAUUCCACUUCUGCAAUCCUUUGUCGACCAUCACUUGUUCUGUCCACGAGCGCCCAGAUCUCACUGGACAAAUCUGUCUUCAUCACCCCCACCAGCGCUCACAACACUGGAUAGUUGGUACCGACAAACUCGGAUGUCUGGUGAGGCAACAUAAAUAAAUAUGUGCUACUGAUCUUAUUACCAUGAUAUGUUCUCAGAAUCAUGAACAUUUAUGUGGUGGCAUUUCUCCAGCUAUAGUACUCCGCCUGAAAUGCCAAGCACCUCUGGCUUAUUAUAUAGUACUUAUCUUUAACCAGAUCCUAUGAACUAUUGGCAUUUGUAACCACUCUAAACUCCUGAUUAUUUUUCCUUUGUUUUCUAGCAAGAGUUCAUUAUCAGCUGUUGGUACAUGUUUUACUCGGCCUUGCUUCGCAAAUAGUAUAAAUCAACUAGAUGUUCUAUCAGCACUAAUGAUGUUAUAUAAAAAUUGAUGGCAAAACUUGGCUCCCAGCCUAUGGAAAGCAGUCAAUGUGCAGGUAUUCUAUAGAGGAAUCUACCUCUCCCCUAUAACCAAACAGUCAAUGAGCAGCGUAUUUUGUAAUUACCGGACAUAGCUCUCCUCCAUAAGAAAUUACAUCUGGUGAUCUCCUAUCGUGUUGUUAUUUUCUCAACGCAUAAUCUGCAGCUGUCGUGCCAAGUACAGUAUAUUGAUCUACACCUCCAUGUAGAUGGACAGUACUAAGCGCAUCCAUCUCAUAUGCCUGGCCCCUAUUGAAGAUAUACAUUCAUUUAUCAGUCGUUGUUUAAGAGAUGUUCAUAUAAGUAGAAAUAAUAUGUAGAACAAUCAUAUGCAACUAUGCAAGGUUCCAUUGUGUAAAUGCAUAGC